GGAUCCAGACUUUGAUUAUGGCUCAGGAUGAACGCUAGCGACAGGCCUAACACAUGCAGGUCGAGGGGCAGCGGGGAGGUAGCAAUACCUUUGCCGGCGACCGGCGCACGGGUGAGUAACACGUAUGCAAUCCACCUGUAACAGGGGGAUAACCCGGAGAAAUCCGGACUAAUACCCCAUAAUAUGGGCGCUCCGCAUGGAGGGCUCAUUAAAGAAAGCAAUUUUGGUUACAGACGAGCAUGCGCUCCAUUAGCCAGUUGGCGGGGUAACGGCCCACCAAAGCGACGAUGGAUAGGGGUUCUGAGAGGAAGGUCCCCCACAUUGGGAACUGAGACACGGUCCAAACUCCUACGGGAGGCAGCAGUGAGGAAUAUUGGUCAAUGGUCGGCAGACUGAACCAGCCAAGUCGCGUGAGGGAAGACGGCCCUACGGGUUGUAAACCUCUUUUGUCGGAGAGUAAAGUACGCUACGAGUAGUGUAUUGCAAGUAUCCGAAGAAAAAGCAUCGGCUAACUCCGUGCCAGCAGCCGCGGUAAUACGGAGGAUGCGAGCGUUAUCCGGAUUUAUUGGGUUUAAAGGGUGCGUAGGCGGCACGCCAAGUCAGCGGUGAAAUUUUCGGGCUCAACCCGGACUGUGCCGUUGAAACUGGCGAGCUAGAGUGCACAAGAGGCAGGCGGAAUGCGUGGUGUAGCGGUGAAAUGCAUAGAUAUCACGCAGAACCCCGAUUGCGAAGGCAGCCUGCUAGGGUGCGACAGACGCUGAGGCACGAAAGCGUGGGUAUCGAACAGGAUUAGAUACCCUGGUAGUCCACGCAGUAAACGAUGAAUACUAACUGUUUGCGAUACAAUGUA
rnacentral:rRNA from 1 species